rnacentral:rRNA from 1 species
CUGUACAGUUCAGAGUUUGAUCCUGGCUCAGAACGAACGCUGGCGGCAUGCCUAACACAUGCAAGUCGAACGAAGGCUUCGGCCUUAGUGGCGCACGGGUGCGAAACACGUGGGAAUCUGCCCCUUGGUUCGGAAUAACAGAGAGAAAUUUCUGCUAAUACCGGAUAAAGACUUCGGUCCAAAGAUUUAUCGCCGAGGGAUGAGCCCGCGUAGGGUUAGGUAGUUGGUGGGGUAAUGGCUCACCAAGCCGACGAUCCUUAGCUGGUCUGAGAGGAUGAUCAGCCACACUGGGACUGAGACACGGCCCAG